rnacentral:rRNA from 1 species
CCGAUGAGGUGGAAACGGACAGAGCUGGCGUAUCUGGCCUGCAUUCAGCCGUCGCGCGCCGGGCCCCGGUUUGCCUCACUCCAGACUGGGAGGGUGGCUUGGGCGCUGGCGUUGCGGUGGUGCAUUUGCAGGUGGAGUGCGCCGAGGCGCUCGGCUCAGCGGCAUGAGCUCGGCUUUGAGGCCAUCCGCGCAAGCGGUCUGGUUCCGGGUCGGGGGAGUGUUGUUUGGGCUGGGUGUUCGCUUGGGUUGUGGUUUCGGGCUCGUGUGGGUGCCGAGCUGGCGGUCGGCGGCGGUCGCUUGCGACACGUGCCUUCAGUCAGUUCGGUCCUGCUCGGGCUCCCAGCUGCCCGGCCUCGGUGUAAAAGCCGGUCAUCUGUCCGACCCGUCUUGAAACACGGACCAAGGAGUUUAGCGUGUGCGCGAGUCAUUGGGCGUUGAAAACCCAAAGGCGCAAUGAAAGUGAAGGUCUGCCUUGUGCAGCUGAUGUGUGAUCCUGGGCGCUGCGGUGCCCGGGCGCAACAUAGUCCCGUUCCGACUGCUUGCAGUGGGGCGGAGACAGAGCGUACGCGCUGAG